rnacentral:rRNA from 1 species
UGAGGAAUAUUGCGCAAUGGGGGAAACCCUGACGCAGCGACGCCGCGUGGGCGAUGAAGGCCUUCGGGUCGUAAAGCCCUUUUAGCAGGGACGAGUGAGGACGGUACCUGUUGAAUAAGUCUCGGCUAACUACGUGCCAGCAGCCGCGGUAAAACGUAGGAGGCGAGCGUUAUCCGGAUUCACUGGGCGUAAAGCGCGCGUAGGCGGUUGGGUAAGUCGGACGUGAAAGCCCCUGGCUCAACUGGGGGAGGCCGUUCGAUACUGCCCGGCUUGAGGAUGAGAGAGGGGAGUGGAAUUCCCGGUGUAGCGGUGGAAUGCGUAGAGAUCGGGAGGAACACCAGUGGCGAAAGCGGCUCCCUGGCUCACCCCUGACGCUGAGAGCGCGAAAGCGUGGGGAGCAAACGGG